UUCGUAUUCACCAAGAGUGCCACUUGCUCCGAUAGGAUUCUGAGCUUCUCUAAUACUUCCUCGUUGGAAGGUUUUUGGCGCUUCUCUUGAGGAAAAAAGCUUUUGGGAGUUACGCCAAAUCAUUUCCCCCUCACUCGACCGGAAUACUCAGGGACAUUAAACACUUUCCCAAGAAUGUCCCUGCAAGUAUCCUUGUUGCCCUCUUGAGUUUCA
rnacentral:lncRNA from 1 species